CCCGGCGACCGGCGCACGGGUGAGUAACGCGUAUGCAACUUACCUAUCAGAGGGGGAUAACCCGGCGAAAGUCGGACUAAUACCGCAUGAAGCAGGGGCCCCGCAUGGGGAUAUUUGCUAAAGAUUCAUCGCUGAUAGAUAGGCAUGCGUUCCAUUAGGCAGUUGGCGGGGUAACGGCCCACCAAACCGACGAUGGAUAGGGGUUCUGAGAGGAACGGUCCCCCACAUUGGUACUGAGACACGGACCAAACUCCUACGGGAGGCAGCAG
rnacentral:rRNA from 1 species